rnacentral:rRNA from 1 species
GGAUUAGAUACCCUGGUAGUCCACGCCGUAAACGAUGUCUACUAGCCGUUGGGGAACUUGAUUCUUUAGUGGCGCAGCUAACGCACUAAGUAGACCGCCUGGGGAGUACGGUUGCAAGAUUAAAACUCAAAUGAAUUGACGGGGGCCCGCACAAGCGGUGGAGCAUGUGGUUUAAUUCGAAGCAACGCGAAGAACCUUACCAACUCUUGACAUCCAGAGAACUCGCUAGAGAUAUCUUGGUGCCUUCGGGAACUCAGACACAGGUGCUGCAUGGCUGUCGUCAGCUCGUGUCG